rnacentral:lncRNA from 1 species
GCAAGGGCAUCGCACCCGAUCAGUGAGACCGUGGUAGUAUAGUAGCUUUCCUUUUUGUAUUAGCACACCUAUGUAUUGAGAGAGAUUCAUUGUAGGUGAGGAUUUGGAGAGCUAUGUAUUUUGGAUGAACCAAUGUAUUCAUUUCGAGAAAAAGAUGUAAAUGAAAAAGAAUGAAACUAUUGUAAUAGUUAGUAAAGUACUCUCUUUAUUUCACAUGCUUUAUCUUGUG